rnacentral:rRNA from 1 species
GACGAACGCUGGCGGCGUGCUUAACACAUGCAAGUCGAACGGAAAGGCUCUGCUUUUGUGGGGUGCUCGAGUGGCGAACGGGUGAGUAACACGUGAGUAACCUGCCCUUGACUUUGGGAUAACUUCAGGAAACUGGGGCUAAUACCGGAUAGGAGCUCCUGCUGCAUGGUGGGGGUUGGAAAGUUUCGGCGGUUGGGGAUGGACUCGCGGCUUAUCAGCUUGUUGGUGGGGUAGUGGCUUACCAAGGCUUUGACGGGUAGCCGGCCUGAGAGGGUGACCGGCCACAUUGGGACUGAGAUACGGCCCAGACUCCUACGGGAGGCAGCAGUGGGGAAUAUUGCACAAUGGGCGGAAGCCUGAUGCAGCAACGCCGCGUGCGGGAUGACGGCCUUCGGGGUGUAAACCGCUUUCGCCUGUGACGAAGCGUGAGUGACGGUAAUGGGUAAAGAAGCACCGGCUAACUACG